GAUGAACGCUGGCGGCGUGCCUAAUACAUGCAAGUCGAGCGAACGGACGAGAAGCUUGCUUUUCUGAUGUUAGCGGCGGACGGGUGAGUAACACGUGGAUAACCUACCUAUAAGACUGGGAUAACUUCGGGAAACCGGAGCUAAUACCGGAUAAUAUUUUGAACCGCAUGGUUCAAAAGUGAAAGACGGUCUUGCUGUCACUUAUAGAUGGAUCCGCGCUGCAUUAGCUAGUUGGUAAGGUAACGGCUUACCAAGGCAACGAUGCAUAGCCGACCUGAGGGGGUGAUCGGCCACACUGGAGCUGAGACACGGUCCAGACUCCUACGGGAGGCAGCAGUAGGGAAUCUUCCGCAAUGGGCGAAAGCCUGACGGAGCAACGCCGCGUGAGUGAUGAAGGUCUUCGGAUCGUAAAACUCUGUUAUUAGGGAAGAACAUAUGUGUAAGUAACUGUGCACAUCUUGACGGUACCUAAUCAGAAAGCCACGGCUAACUACGUG
rnacentral:rRNA from 1 species